UCGGCUUUUUUCGCGGGUGCCCUUUAUCUUGAAAUGUAUUUUCUCUACGUGGGAAUAGUAACUGGCCUUUUCGUACGUGCAGAAGGGAUCUGUGAGGGGAAUCAACCUCUGCUUUAUCAUUAAGCUGACCAAUCCUUCAGGAGACGUCAACAGACUGAUUCAAAAUGCCAAGAGAAAUUCACGAGAUCAAGGACCUGCUCCUGACAGCCAGAAGGAAGGAUGCAAAGUCCGUGAAGAUCAAGAAGAACAAGGACUGUGUCAAGUUCAAGGUGCGAUGCAGUCGCUUCCUGUACACCCUGGUCAUCAAAGACACAGAGAAGGCCGAGAAGCUCAAGCAGUCUCUCCCUCCAGGUCUCCAGGUUAAAGAAAUCAAGUGAGGCACCAACCCAAAGGGUGGCGGGAGUGACGUUCUUUGACGCCAACUGUUCAACUUUGACCUUCAACCUUUGGACUGACUUGAAACCAGACAAUUCAACAGCGAGACGCAUUAUGAAGGCAAGUGCACUUGUCGUGGACCCUUCGGAAAUCUGUUGAAGGGACAGUCUUAAACAACACUCCUGAACUUUUUGUUUUGAUGUCUUACGAAGAUGUAUAUAGAAUAAAGUUUCAAGCUAUGGCUUGAAAAACAAAAAAAACGAA